rnacentral:rRNA from 1 species
GAUGAACGCUGGCGGCGUGCCUAAUACAUGCCAGUCGAGCGAACAGACGAGGAGCUUGCUCCUCUGACGUUAGCGGCGGACGGGUGAGUAACACGUGGAUAACCUACCUAUAAGACUGGGAUAACUUCGGGAAACCGGAGCUAAUACCGGAUAAUAUAUUGAACCGCAUGGUUCAAUAGUGAAAGACGGUUUUGCUGUCACUUAUAGAUGGAUCCGCGCCGCACUAGCUAGUUGGUAAGGUAACGGCUUACCAAGGCAACGAUGCGUAGCCGACCUGAGAGGGUGAUCGGCCACACUGGAACUGAGACACGGUCCAGACUCCUACGGGAGGCAGCAGUAGGGAAUCUUCCGCAAUGGGCGAAAGCCUGACGGAGCAACGCCGCGUGAGUGAUGAAGGUCUUCGGAUCGUAAAACUCUGUUAUUAGGGAAGAACAAAUGUGUAAGUAACUAUGCACGUCUUGACGGUACCUAAUCAGAAAGCCACGGCUAACUACGUG